GUUUUGGUGAAUUACAUACUAUUGGGUCAUGUAUUAAGUUACUGAAACCAAUUAAUUGUAGCCCUAAAGCUCUGUGACUUUAUCUAUGAUGAUCAGGGUUGCAUGGCCACCACACAGUCGAGAUAAACGAAGCCACACUCAGCUUACAGAAAGAGGCCACAAAUGAUCUUUACCAAAAGCCUUACAGAAGACUUGGGAAAGGAGACCAUAGACGGUCUAGUAAUGCCCUACAUCAAACGGCAAAGACUAAGAUAAAAAGAUUGAAUUCAACAAGGUAGCAACCUAGCCCCAAGCAAGAUAAAACUAAAACGGUCUUCGUUACUAAGCACUAGUAAGGUAGAGGGCGAAACCCAUCAAGAACGAGCAAUGGAGAUGGUUGGAAACCACUCAACCAUUGUAGCCUUUAAACGACAUUAGACGUCCUACAAUUGCUCCAC